rnacentral:rRNA from 1 species
UGGGGAAUCUUGGACAAUGGGCGCAAGCCUGAUCCAGCCAUGCCGCGUGGAUGAUGAAGGCCUUAGGGUUGUAAAAUCCUUUCGUUGGGGACGAUAAUGACGGUACCCAAAGAAGAAGCUCCGGCUAACUUCGUGCCAGCAGCCGCGGUAAUACGAAGGGGGCUAGCGUUGUUCGGAUUUACUGGGCGUAAAGCGCGUGUAGGCGGGUCGUUAAGUUGGAGGUGAAAUCCCAAGGCUCAACCUUGGAACUGCCUUCAAAACUGGCGACCUGGACUCAAGCAGAGGCAAGUGGAAUUGCGAGUGUAGAGGUGAAAUUCGUAGAUAUUCGCAGGAACACCAGUGGCGAAGGCGACUUGCUGGGCUUGUAGUGACGCUGAGACGCGAAAGCGUGGGGAGCAAACAGGAUUAGAUACCCGUGUAGUCC